AGCUUGCUCUUCCUGGAUGAGUUGCGAACGGGUGAGUAACGCGUAAGUAACCUGCCUUGUAGCGGGGGAUAACUAUUGGAAACGAUAACUAAUACCCCAUAACAAUGGAUGACACAUGUCAUUUAUUUGAAAGGGGCAAUUGCUCCACUACAAGAUGGACCUGCGUUGUAUUAUCUAGUAGGUGAGGUAAUGGCUCACCUAGGCGACGAUACAUAGCCGACCUGAGAGGGUGAUCGGCCACACUGGGACUGAGACACGGCCCAUACUCCUACGGGAGGCACCACUAGGGAAUCUUCGGCAAUGGGGGCAACCCUGACCGAGCAACGCCGCGUGAGUGAAGAAGGUUUUCGGAUCGUAAAGCUCUGUUGUAAGUCAAGAACGGGUGUGAGAGUGGAAAGUUCACACUGUGACGGUAGCUUACCAGAAAGGGACGGCUAACUACGUGCCAGCAGCCGCGGUAAUACGUAG
rnacentral:rRNA from 1 species